rnacentral:rRNA from 2 species
GGUUAAGCGACUAAGCGUACACGGUGGAUGCCCUGGCAGUCAGAGGCGAUGAAGGACGUGCUAAUCUGCGAUAAGCGCCGGUAAGGUGAUAUGAACCGUUAUAACCGGCGAUUUCCGAAUGGGGAAACCCAGUGUGAUUCGUCACACUAUCAUUAACUGAAUCCAUAGGUUAAUGAGGCGAACCGGGGGAACUGAAACAUCUAAGUACCCCGAGGAAAAGAAAUCAACCGAGAUUCCCCCAGUAGCGGCGAGCGAACGGGGAGGAGCCCAGAGCCUGAAUCAGCAUGUGUGUUAGUGGAAGCGUCUGGAAAGACGCGCGAUACAGGGUGACAGCCCCGUACACAAAAGCGCAUGUGCUGUGAGCUCGAUGAGUAGGGCGGGACACGUGGUAUCCUGUCUGAAUAUGGGGGGACCAUCCUCCAAGGCUAAAUACUCCUGACUGACCGAUAGUGAACCAGUACCGUGAGGGAAAGGCGAAAAGAACCCCGGCGAGGGGAGUGAAAAAGAACCUGAAACCGUGUACGUACAAGCAGUGGGAGCCCCACCACUAAGCCAGUGGUGAACUCCACAUACGCAUCCUUUGCUGAGGAUACGGUUAACGGAGCGAAAGCGACGUUCAACCUCAAAAGAAGCAGAGGGGGCUUAGUGGUGGGGUGACUGCGUACCUUUUGUAUAAUGGGUCAGCGACUUAUAUUCUGUAGCAAGGUUAACCGAAUAGGGGAGCCGGAGGGAAACCGAGUCUUAACCGGGCGUUAAGUUGCAGGGUAUAGACCCGAAACCCGGUGAUCUAGCCAUGGGCAGGUUGAAGGUUGGGUAACACUAACUGGAGGACCGAACCGACUAAUGUUGAAAAAUUAGCGGAUGACCUGUGGCUGGGGGUGAAAGGCCAAUCAAACCGGGAGAUAGCUGGUUCUCCCCGAAAGCUAUUUAGGUAGCGCCUCGUGAACUCAUCUCCGGGGGUAGAGCACUGUUUCGGCUAGGGGGCCAUCCCGGCUUACCAACCCGAUGCAAACUGCGAAUACCGGAGAAUGUUAUCACGGGAGACACACGGCGGGUGCUAACGUCCGUCGUGAAGAGGGAAACAACCCAGACCGCCAGCUAAGGUCCCAAAGUCAUGGUUAAGUGGGAAACGAUGUGGGAAGGCCCAGACAGCCAGGAUGUUGGCUUAGAAGCAGCCAUCAUUUAAAGAAAGCGUAAUAGCUCACUGGUCGAGUCGGCCUGCGCGGAAGAUGUAACGGGGCUAAACCAUGCACCGAAGCUGCGGCAGCGAACGUAUCACCCAAGACAACUUUACGGAGUUGACGAUUGACGGAGCGAAGCGACGUCAAAGCGUUCAUUAAAGUCGAGUUGGCUUAGGGAUACGUUCGUUGGGUAGGGGAGCGUUCUGUAAGCCUGUGAAGGUGGCCUGUGAGGGUUGCUGGAGGUAUCAGAAGUGCGAAUGCUGACAUAAGUAACGAUAAUGCGGGUGAAAAACCCGCACGCCGGAAGACCAAGGGUUCCUGUCCAACGUUAAUCGGGGCAGGGUGAGUCGACCCCUAAGGCGAGGCCGAAAGGCGUAGUCGAUGGGAAACAGGUUAAUAUUCCUGUACUUGGUGUUACUGCGAAGGGGGGACGGAGAAGGCUAUGUUAGCCGGGCGACGGUUGUCCCGGUUUAAGCAUGUAGGCGGAGGUUCCAGGUAAAUCCGGUACCUUAUUAACGCUGAGGUGUGAUGACGAGGCACUACGGUGCUGAAG